UACAGAGGGUGCGAGCGUUGUCCGGAAUCACUGGGCGUAAAGGGCGCGUAGGUGGUGGCUUAAGCGUGCGGUGAAAGCUCGGAGCUCAACUCCGAGUCGGCCGUGCGAACUGGGCUCACUGGAGCAUAGUAGAGGCAGGUGGAAUUCCGGGUGUAGCGGUGGAAUGCGUAGAGAUCGGGAGGAACACCUGUGGCGAAGGCGGCCGGCUGGGGGUGCCCUGACGCUGAGGCGCGAAAGCGUGGGGAGCGAACCGG
rnacentral:rRNA from 1 species